UAUUCCAGGACAAGUAGGAGGAAAAAGA
rnacentral:piRNA from 1 species